GACGAACGCUGGCGGCGUGGAUUAGGCAUGCAAGUCGAACGGUAGGAUACCUUCGGGUAUCUGAGAGUGGCGAACGGGUGAGUAACACGUAGGUGAUCUACCCUCAAGAUUGGGACAACCCAGGGAAACUUGGGCUAAUACCGGAUGAAAGCAGCAGUGAUGUUGUUUGAAAGGUGGCGUAAGCUGCCGUUUGGGGAUGAGCCUGCGCUCUAUUAGUUAGUUGGCGGGGUAAAGGCCCACCAAGGCGAUGAUAGAUAGGCGGCCUUAACGGGUGGUCGCCCACACUGGGAUUGAGAUACGGCCCAGACUCCUACGGGAGGCAGCAGUCGAGAAUAGUCUACAAUGGUCGGAAGACUGAUAGUGCGACGCCGCGUGAACGAUGAAUCCCUUCGGGGUUAAAGUUCUUUUAUAUGUGAGCAGUGCUUCUUAUAUUAACAGUAUGGGGAAGAGAUAUUAGCAUAUGAAUAAGCAACGGCUAACUCCGUGCCAGCA
rnacentral:rRNA from 1 species